rnacentral:misc_RNA from 1 species
UCCGGAGGCAGUCCUAGCGCUCAGUGUGCUCUUUCCUCUGCCUAGUUAGAUGUUGCCUCCGUAAGAGUAACUCUUUGUUUUGCUGGCAAUUGAAACUCAAUAAUGGUACUAAGCCCUGAAAAUGAGUUUCUUUCUCUGAUUGAAGUCUGGAGAUGUGAAUCAGUUUAGCCAUAGUGUCAUGAGCCUCAACAUAUUCUUUCUG